rnacentral:lncRNA from 1 species
GAAAAAACUCAGAGGAAAAAAUUCAGUUAUACUUCUACUGCUUUAGUUUACAGAUUUAUAUAGAGAGGAAUAAUCAUUUUAAAGGAAAUAAAUCCUAAUUUCCUAAGAAUCAGUAAUUGAUAUCCUAAUUUCCUAAGAAUUAGUAAUUGAGAUUAGUUUCUAUUUACAAGAGAACUAAUAGUAAUAAGGUAAGAUUUCUAUCCUUAAUUUUAGGGAUUCCAACACUCCCCCUCAAGCUGGAGUGUAAAUGUUAAUCAAACCCAGCUUGCCAAUAAGUUCUUCAAACAUGUUUCUGUUCAAACUCUUAGUUAACAUGUUUGCAACUUGUUGUCUAGUAGGUUGGUAGGUGAUGCAUACUUCUCCUGAGUGUAUUUUUUCUUUUAUAAAGUGACGAUCUAUUUCCACAUGUUUGGUCCGAUCAUGAUGCACAGGAUUAUGUGCUAUGCUGACAGCAGCCUGGUUGUCACAGUACAUCUUCAUAGGUCUGGUAUAAGGCACUUUUAGUUCUCCCAUAAGUCUUUGUAUCCAAACUCCUUCGCAUAUACCAUGAGAUAGUGCUCGAUACUCUGCCUCUGCACUGCUGCGUGCUACCAUAGACUGUUUUUUUGCUCCUCCACGUCACAAGAUUACCCCAAACAUAACUAUAAUAGCCGCUUGUAGACCGUCUAUCAUUAACAGAACCUGCCCAGUCUACAUCAGUGUAGAAUUCCACGCUUCGGUUGACAGUUUUCUUGAAGUACAAGCCUUUACCAGGAGUUCCUUUUAGAUAUCUUAGUAUUCUAUAUGCAGCUUCCAGGUGCUUCUCCCUUGGGGCAUGCAUAUACUGACUAAUAACACUCACACUGAAGGCUAUGUCUGGACGGGUGUGAGAUAGGUAGAUGAGCCUUCCUACUAGACGUUGAUAUCUCCCCCUGUCGAUUUCUUCUCCAUCCUCAUUAGUUCCCAAUUUAAGGUUAAACUCCAUAGGAGUUUCAGCUGGUUUGCUGCCCAUCAAACCAACUUCCGACAGUAGAUCAAGAACAUAUUUCCUUUGGGAAAUGAAGAUACCUUUUUUCGACCUUGCUACCUCCAUACCAAGAAAAUAUUUAAGACUCCCCAAGUCUUUAAGUUCAAACUCUGUACCAAGAAAUUCUUUCAAUCUCAAAAUUUCGCUCGAGUCAUUUCCUGUUAAUAUUAUAUCGUCGACAUAAACGAUAAGGAUGCAGCAUUUACCCUCUUUCGAGUGCUUGUAGAACAUGGUGUGGUCUGCCUGUCCUUGAAUGUAAUUUCUGCUAGUCAUGGCUUUUGCAAAUCGGCUGAACCACGCUCGUGGAGAUUGUUUCAGCCCAUACAAGGACUUCUUCAACUUACACACUUGGUCCUUGUUUUCUUCAAACUCGGGUGGGAAAUCCAUGUACACUUCCUCAUUUAAUUCACCGUUGAGAAAAGCAUUUUUUACAUCCGAUUGAGUCAAGUGCCAAUCAAGGUUGGCAGCAAGAGAUAGCAGGACACGAACGGUGUUUAGCUUGGCAACCGGUGCAAACGUCUCGUUGUAGUCAAGACCAUAAGUUUGAGUGAAUCCCUUAGCCACAAGUCGAGCUUUGUAUCGGUCAAUACGGCCAUUGGGUUUAAAUUUCGUAGUGAAAAUCCAUUUGCACCCUACGGUUUUUUUCCCUUUAGGUAGAUCCGAGACUUCCCAUGUUUCAUUGUUUUUGAGGGCCUUCAUUUCUUCCAUCACGGCUUGUCUCCACUCAGCUGAUUCAAGAGCCUCUUCUAUAUUUUUUGGAGUUUUUACAGAAUCAACAUUAGUCACAAAAGCUUUGUAAGACUUAGAUAAAUUUCCAUAGGAUACAAACCGAGAAAUAAGAUGUUGAGUGCAGCUCCUUGUACCCUUUCGAACUGCAAUUGGAAGAUAGAUGGAUGGUGACGGAGGUGAGACUUCUGUUUCAGAACAGUCCUCGGUUGGAGAUGUAAUUUACACUGCUGUAUCAGUUUCAGGAGAACGAUUCCGUCGGGAGUAAACUUGUAUUUGUUCUUUUCCUUGAUCAGGUGGUUGUACUUCGGUGGAGGUAUUGUUAUUGGGAAGGACGGUGUUAAAUUCUUGCUGCACAGGGGAAACAACUAAAUCUGGGAUAGGUUUGUUUGUGAUAGUAGUAGUAGGAUCAGGAGGUAUAAUGAGGAGAGUAUUAAGGGUCUCAUCUUCAUUAAAAAUCUCCCCCUGAAGAUGAGAUGCUGCAAAGUAUGGUUCAUUUUCAAAGAAGGUAACAUCCUGAGAGACAAACAUUCGGCGCAAUGUUGGUAACACUUAUAGCCUUUUUGUGUAGGGGAAUAUCCAAUAAAGAUGCAGGUGUGGGCUCGAGGAUCAAGUUUGGAUUGAUUUGGUUGAUGGUUAUGGACAAAAGCUUUACAGUCGAAUAUUUUGGCUGGAAGAUUAGGAACAUGAAAUAGAGUGAAGGCCUUUAAAAGAGUAUUUAGAGGUGUUUGGAAAUUGAGGAUCUUUGGUGGCAUUCGGUUUAUCAGAUAAUAGGCAGUGAGGACAGCUUCUCCCCACAAGUAUUUUGGAACAUUCAUAGUGAACAUUAUGGCUCGAGCCACAUCAAGGAGGUAACGAUUUUUUCUCUCAGAGAUCCCGUUUUGUUGAGGAGUGUCAGGACAAGAGCUUUGGUGUAUAAUGCCUUGGUCAGAAAGGUAUGGACUUAAGACAGAGUUGAAGUAUUCUCUCCCAUUGUCAGUAUGGAGGGUAUGUAUGGUAGAGUUGAAUUGGGUUCGAACCAUUGAGUGAAAAUUUUGGAAUACUUUGGGUGUUUCAGAUUUUUCUUUGAGUAGAUAGACCCAACAAACCCUAGUAUGAUCAUCAAUGAAUGUUAUAAACCAUCUAGCCCUUGUAAUAUUUUUCACUUGGCUGGCUCCCCAUAGGUCACUAUGGAUUAACGAAAAAGGUUGGGACUGAAUAUGUGGUUUUAAUGGGUAUGGCACACGGGUAUGUUUAGAUAAUUGGCAAAUUUCACACUUCAAGGAAUUAAUACUUUUAUUUCGAAAUAACAGCGGAAGAUGUUUUUUCAAAUACACAGUUUGGAUGUCCUAACCUACGGUGCCAUAACAUAAUAGUGUCCUCUUUUGAAGUGGAUAGAGCCAAUCCCCCUUGUGUACUGUUUUUAUUCCAAAUAUAUAGUCCAUCAUCAACUUUAGCAGUGCCAAUCAUCCUCCUCGAUUUUUGUUCCUAUAUCACACAACCAAUUUCAGAAAAUUCAGCAAGAACUUUUUCAUCCUUAGUAAGUUUACUAAUUGAAAGUAAAUUACAGGACAAGUUUGGGACAUGUAGGACUUUAUCGAGAGAAAAACUCUCUGUCAUUUGUACUUCUCCUAUUCCAGCCACAGGUGAGUAAGAAUCGUCAGCUAUGCGGAUUCGGGAUUUGUUAUGACAAGGAGUGUAGGUGUGAAACAACGUGGAGUCACCUGUCAUGUGAUCGGAGGCACCCGAAUUGAGUAUCCAAGGAGAUUGAUUAUUAGAUUCAAAAGCAAUGUUGAGGGCAGUACCUCGAGUGGCUAGAGAUCCAUGAGUAGUGGGAGUACCAAGUAUCUUAUGGAGAGUCUCAAGCUGUGUUUUGGUUAAGCAAACAUCAAGAACAUCAUCAGCAGUAGUGGAGGAUAACAUGGCAGUCUUAUUAUCCUUCUGUUUUUUUUUCAGGAUAGCCAUAGAGUUUGAAGCAUUUUUCUUUUGUAUGACCAACACGAUUGCAGUGACUACACCAUGGUCUUGUUGAUCCAGAAUCAUUUCCAGCACGUUGUUUUUGUGGCUGUGGACCUUUGGAGAUGAGAGCAGAGGAUUCAGUAGGACGGUUAGAAAUCGGGGUCAUAGGUUUAAGUUCCUUUGAAUCUCUCAUCAUGACAAGACGACGCUUUUCUUCUCUUCUAACUUCUGCAAAUGCUUCACCAAUCGUUGGAAGAGGUGAUCUGCCCAGAAUUCGGCCAUGGACCUCAUCUAACUCACGGUUCAGUCCUGCUAAAAACUCAUAAAGACGUUCAUUGUUGAGAUGGGUCAUAAACCUGUUGUGUUCUAAGCCUUCACCCCAAUCUGCCUCAUAAUACAUAUCCAGUUCUUGCCACAAAAUUUUCAGAUUGUUGUAGUAGUGAGUUACCUCGAGUGUUCCUUGUCGGAUAUCCUUUAACUUAAGCUUGAUCUCAAAUACUUGGGAGGCGUUUCCAAGAUCUGAGUAGUUUUCCUUGACUGCAUCCCACAUGCCUUUUGCAGUUUUGAAAAAAAGAUAGGUGCGGCUUAUAUGGCCUUCCAUCGAAUUGAUUAGCCAAGCCAUUACAAUUGAAUUAUUGAGUUCCCAAGUGGCAUAAGUAGGAUCAGUUAUGGUUGGUCGUGGAAUUUCUCCAUUGAUGUACCCUAAUUUGCCACGACUACGAAUCACCAUAAGAACCGAUUGAGACCAUUGCAGGAAGUUCUUCCCAUUUAGCCGAUGAUUGGUGAUUAUAAGGGAGGAAUUAAUUUCACCUUGAGUGAUUCCCUGAUUGAUAUUCUGAGGUAUUUGUGAUGUCUCAGUUUCAGAGAAAUUUUGGUUGAUAUCACCCAUUGGAGGACUAAACCAAAGGAAUUUUUAGGAAGGGAAAUUAGAGAAGAAAAAUAGGAUCGAAUGAAUCCUAAAGCCCUGAUGCCAUGAAAAAACUCAGGAAAAAAUUCAGUUAUACUUCUGCUGCUUUAGUUUACAGAUUUAUAUAGAGAGGAAUAAUCAUUUUAAAGGAAAUAAAUCCUAAUUUCCUAAGAAUCAGUAAUUGAUAACCUAAUUUCCUAAGAAUCAGUAAUUGAUAACCUAAUUUCCUAAGAAUCAGUAACUGAGAUUAGUUUCUAUUUACAAGAGAACUAAUAGUAAUAAGGUAAGAUUUCUAUCCUUAAUUAUAGGGAUU